CAGUGUUCAAAAAAGAAGAAGAAUGCUCAAUGUGUGCGGGUCAAACAACUGAUGAUGACAAUGCAAUCAUUAACGGAUUGCAUGUGCAGAUUGCCAUAGAUGGUACCAUACUGCAUGCAUCAAUAUGACAAACCAACAAUACAACAGAGCAAGGAAAGAAUUGUGGAAGUGUUGUCUCUGCAGUUGAUUUAAAGAUGCAUUGGCAAUUUGACACCCCUAAAGUACAUGUUCCUAUCCCGAAAUGUUAAUAUCUGUAUUUAUCUUGAUUUAAAAAUAUCCAUUUUGUUGAACCUAAUAAUUUUUAGUGCUAAUGUGUACCUUGCAAUACACAUUUUACUAUUUUAAAUAAAGAGCAAGUUUUCUGUGUGAACUGAAGUUAAAUAAAAACAUUUAAAUAGGCGAUACAAAUAUCUAUACUCCAUAACUUUUUUUCUAUAUUUUUCUGAAAUUUGAUAAAACUAUAAAAGUUUGAUA